CCUCCAUUCAGGCGAUUUUCCCGGGACCCCUGCAUUAUCGGGCCCUGCAAUGUCUGAAGGGAUCCCACCUUCGCUCGGGCAGUUCAUACGAAAGCGAACUACGCCUGGCAUGGUUGGGGUGCUCGCUGUGGGAAUGUCUCCCCAGGUGGCAGAUAGUCCGAAAUCGAAUCGACACUACACAUAAACUGUCUGGAAUUGCUGGCGGGAUCAUUCGCUAUUCGCAGCCUGUCUCCAACUCUGGGAAACUGCUGCGUCCUUCUGCGCAUGGACAAUGUGUCCGCGGUCAGAUAUAUAAAUCACCUAGGUGGCACGAAAUCAAAACAACUGGCGAAGGACUUCUGGUAGUUUUGCCUCCACAGCGUGGUGUCAGUUACGGCCGAACACAUCCCGGGCUUGGACAACAAAUGGGCGGAUUGGAAUUCGCGAUACUUGAAAGACUCAGGAGAUUGGCACCUGCUGCCUUCGAUCUUUCGACAGAUAGAUCUACUAUGGGGCCCGUUACAACUGGACUUGUUCGCAUCCAGACUAAACGCUCAACUACCCCAAUACUUCAGUUGGAGGCCGGAUCCAUCAGCCACGGCGGUGGAUGCGUUUCUGCAGACAUUGCCUCGGGGUCGUCACUCGGACGCUGGCGUACUUGUCCAGGCAAGAGUGCAAGUUCCCCUAUGGCAGACUCAGCCUUGGUUCCCGCGUCUCUUGGAGAUGGCGACGGAUUGCCCACGGAUUAUCAAGAUGCGACCAGAGGUGCUUCUAGAUCCUGAUGGGAACUCACACGAAUUGCUGCACCAGGACCUGCUCCAGCUCACGGCUUGGUUGAUUUUGGGGGACCCUGGUGUGUCACGGACGUUCCGCAGGCUACUACAAGACUCCUGGAGAAUGCCUGGGCACCGGGUACCAGAACAGCUUACAAAUCUGCAUGGCGUGUGUGGUCUGGCUGGUGCGUGGGAAGACUGCUGGAUCCUCUUUCUGCCCCUCUGAAGGAGGUGCUCAGUUUUCUGACUACACUAUUUGAAUCUGGUUUGGCCUACUGCACUAUUAAUGUUUAUAGAUCGGCCAUCUCGGCUGGACAUCUAGGUAUUGACGGAUCACCGGUUGGACAACAUUCUUUUGUAUGCCGAUUGUUGAAGGGUAUUCGUUACUCUAGGCCUCCGAAAUCCAGGUAUUCAUCGUUUUGGGAUGUUAACGUAGUGCUGGGCUUCUUGGAAUCGUGGCCCCUUAAUGAGGAGCUGUCGCUGAAGCAAUUAUCC